CCUACGGGGGGCUGCAGUAAGGAAUAUUGGACAAUGGCCGCAAGGCUGAUCCAGCCAUGCCGCGUGCAGGAUGAAGGUGCUCUGCAUUGUAAACUGCUUUUGUUCGGGAAUAAACCCUUUCACGUGUGAGAGGUUGAAUGUACCGAAAGAAUAAGGGACGGCUAACUUCGUGCCAGCAGCCGCGGUAAUACGAAGGUCCCAAGCGUUAUCCGGAUUUAUUGGGUUUAAAGGGUGCGUAGGCGGGUUAUUAAGUCAGUGGUGAAAGCUCCCAGCUCAACUGGGAAACUGCCAUUGAUACUGAUAGUCUUGAGUAUGAUUGAAGUGGGCGGAAUGUGUCAUGUAGCGGUGAAAUGCUUAGAUAUGACACAGAACACCGAUUGCGAAGGCAGCUCACUAAGCCAUAACUGACGCUGAUGCACGAAAGCGUGGGGAGCAAACAGGAUUAGAUACCCCGGUAGUC
rnacentral:rRNA from 2 species